GACGAACGCUGGCGGCGUGCUUAACACAUGCAAGUCGAACGGAAAGGCCUGCUUUCCCUUGUGGAUUGCGGGUACUCGAGUGGCGAACGGGUGAGUAACACGUGAGUGAUCUGCCCCCAACUUGGGUAUAAGCCUGGGAAACUGGGUCUAAUUCCCGAUAGGACUGCAGGGUGGUGCCUGUGGUGGAAAACGAUUUUCUAGUGGUUGGGGAUGAGCUCGCGGCCUAUCAGCUUGUUGGUGGGGUAAUGGCCUACCAAGGCGGCGACGGGUAGCCGGCCUGGGAGGGUGGACGGCCACAUUGGGACUGAGAUACGGCCCAGACUCCUACGGGAGGCAGCAGUGGGGAAUAUUGCACAAUGGGCGGAAGCCUGAUGCAGCGACGCCGCGUGGGGGAUGACGGCCUUCGGGUGGUAAACUCCUUUCGGCCGCGAGGAAGCCACCUGGUUGGAAGGGUGGUGACGGUAGUGGUAGAAGAAGCACCGGCUAACUACGUG
rnacentral:rRNA from 1 species